GACGAACGCUGGCGGCGUGCCUAAUACAUGCAAGUAGAACGCUGAAGGAGGAGCUUGCUUCUCUGGAUGAGUUGCGAACGGGUGAGUAACGCGUAGGUAACCUGCCUGGUAGCGGGGGAUAACUUUUGGAAACGAGAGCUAAUACCGCAUAAGAGUAGAUGUUGCAUGACAUUGGCUUAAAAGGUGCAAUUGCAUCGCUACCAGAUGGGCCUGCGGUGUAUGAGCGAGGUGGUGGGGUAUAGGCGCACCAAGGCGGGGAUACGUAGCCGACCUGAGAGGGGGAUCAGCCAGCCUGGGAGUGAGACACGGCCCAUAGUCCUACGGGAGGCAGCAGUAGGGAAUCUUGGGCAAUGGACGGAAGUCUGACCGAGAAACGCCGCGUGCGUGAAGAAGGUUGUCGGAUCGUAAAGCUCUGUUGUAAGAGAAGAACGAGUGUGAGAGUGGAAAGUUCACACUGUGACGGUAUCUGAUCAGAAAGGGACGGCUAACUACGUG
rnacentral:rRNA from 1 species